GUCUUUUUAGUACAAUAAGUAUAAGUGAUUUCCAAUUACUUGAUCUUAGCUAAAAACCUAAGAGAAGACA
rnacentral:tRNA from 2 species